CUGCUCAGGAUUCUCUUUCUCUCUCUCUGCCCCUCCCCUGCUCGCACUCCCUCCCACUUUCUCUCUCUUUCAAAAUAAAUAAAUAAACAUUAAAAAAUAACCACAGAAAACCUAAUGUCCCCUCGUCCUCUGAAUAUCUACCCUGAGCCCUUCACCAUCAGGCUGUCCACUCAGCCCGGAAAGACCUGUCUUCUCCCUUCCCGCUCUCCUAAAACAGCCCGCCUUAGGAGACCAUGGACAAGAUCCACGUGGCCCGACAGGCCCUCCUCACCUCACCUCUCACCAUCCACCACACGCCCCCCCCCUCCCCGGUCGUUUGCUGAAGACUGCCUUGGACUGGCAACUCUGCUCGUGUUUCAAACUGGAUUUGGACCCCUCCAGUGUCAGAGAACCUAGCACCAGGCUUGGCAGGUGGAUGUCUGUUGAAGAACAACAAAGACAUCAUGGCACGUUAGGCUUUUCAAGUGUUUUGGCCUUUAUGUUUUGGAUGACCCCCAGGGAGACAGGGCCCCGAACUCUGGAUUCAGAAGGGGCACUGGCUCUCAGAGACCUGGAGAGACGGGGCACAGGACGUGCCUGAGAAGUCGGGCUUCCAGGCCGACCUGUGUGCAGACUGACAAUUCACCAGGGAAGGGCUGUAACGUGCUCCCUGGAGCACGCUCUCCCUACCUCCACGAAGAGACGACGGUAGAAAAUGAGCUCGCCCGUCCCUCUCCAGAGCCCGGCACCAAGCCAGCCUCACAGGAGAUCAUCCGCCACCUGGACGUGACCGGCCACUUACGAGGAAAGCGCUCCAAGAUUCCAAGAGACUAAAAGGCUCCUAACUGUUGUUUAGAAAUGUAAAUGGCCCUAAAUUAUAACCAGAGAGGGAAACGCAUCUAGGGGCAGGGAGGGCCAUUCUGUAAUCGGGUCUCGGGGCUGUCUGGCUUCUCCAACGCGCAGGGCAAAUACAGACGGUUUAUAGAUGUGGGCGAAGGUUCUCAGAGUGAAGAAUGUCCAUUUCCAUCAGAGAUUAAAAUGCAGUUUGGGAAAACAAUUACCUGCCUGGGAUCCUGGGAAAGUAAAGCUUCCUGGUUUCUCUGCCAAGGGGAACGAUUGUAAAACAAGGCCUGAGAAUCUCACAAACAAGAUUCUAGAAUUUUAUCCAAACAGCUGCAGUUCACCUUCAAGGAGCCCAGACGCACUUGGGUCUGAUGGAUGUUGCAACACCAAGUUCGAGGUCUCCCCGGUCUCGUGCCAAGAGCUGGCCCCACGGGACAAAGACAGAACAGUUGCUCUCUUAAUGGGAGCAGAAAACAACCCCCCCCCACCCCCCACCCCCACCACCCAACCUCUCUGCUUUGUUGUGAAAUUGUCACUGUGCCUUUGAGAAGAGAUUAAAAUCCUAGCCAUGUCAAAUUUAAAGGGCAGGUUCCCAGGCAGGGACUGGAGAGGGGUUUGGGCAGCGGUGGCGGGUGGGGGGUGGGGAAACCAAUUGCAGUGAAUUUACGGAGGAUUUGGGGAUCACAAAAGUCAAGGGCCUUGACUCAACUGAAAUUAAUGGAAAAGUACAAGUCUGCCAUUUAAAGAUAAUAGUAAAAUAAAGCGGCAAGGAUAUUCUGGCUUGUUCUCUGCCUCCAUUCUUGAGCCUGCUUAGGAAUCUCGGAGUGGGCUUCCUGAGGCACAGCAUGGGUGCCGCACAAGCGGCUGUUUUUACCUCCUUUCCUGCCCUGGACACACAAAGAUUCGGUAGCCGAGAGGGAGGAUAAACGGUCCACCCACAGCUGAACAUUUCCUGAGGGCCAGGGAGGUGCUCGGCAAAGCUGCUGGAAUUGGUGGGGGGAAGAAAAAGAAUAUGAGUUCUCAAGGCAUUGGCAGAAAAGACUAGAGAGAAAGAGGCCGCAGGAAAGUUCCCUGGCUUGGCGGCCUUGCCAGAGUCUCAGACACGGGACACUCCGCCUUCAAGAAGGAGGCCCUGGAUCCUUCCAGAGCCCCUGAAUCUCUCAUCUGGCUCCAAAUCUUCGGAAGUGCUAUAUAGGAACCCCUCCACAUAUUCUCUCCUGACUCCAUUUGUAAGGCGAGGAGACGGGUGACCGCAAAGACAUUCUCAUCCUGUGGGUCUGGUUCCCAGAGAGCGACCCAUUGGGGUGUGGGGAAGAGGGCCCCCAGCUCCACCUUAGGGAGGGAGCGCAUCUCAGCCUGGGGCCUGAUCGUUUCCAGGCCUGAAUAUGACCACUGGUCUUUGGACAGACACUGACAUUGAAGAAAUAUUCUUUGAUUAAAGAAAUCUUUUGAUUAA